rnacentral:lncRNA from 1 species
GUCCGUCAACAAAGCAACACAUGAAAACACCCUAUUUUUCCUGGCGGUCUUUUCAACUAAAAACUUAUGGUAGAAGUUACAAAGCGCGCGCAAUGCGUUAGCAACCUAAAGAAACAAUUCCGUCUCCACUUUGGGGAAAGAAUUACAUUUCUUAUCAUUAUAAGCCCCUAAUCCAAGAAUUUUAGGCAGAAAACAUGUUUCUUUUUUGUUUUGUUUUUUUCUGCAGUGAGUAUUCCUGGAUUAUUGUUGCUUAUAUUCAAAGUGGCUUUUGCGCGCUUUUCAUUUUUUUUUUAUUUUCUUCGCAAUUUUUCACUUCAUUUUUUUUUCAUUGCUUGCCACUUUGAUUUGGACACUAUGAAGUAUUUUUCAAAAAGAAAACAGAUUCCAUUUUCGUGCUGUCUCAAAUACUUUACAGUAGAUUACUGGCGCAAGUAUGGUGAAAA